rnacentral:rRNA from 1 species
GAGCUCGUAGGUGGUUUGUCGCGUUGUUCGUGAAGUCUCACGGCUUAACUGUGAGCGUGCGGGCGAUACGGGCAGACUUGAGUACUGCAGGGGAGACUGGAAUUCCUGGUGUAGCGGUGGAAUGCGCAGAUAUCAGGAGGAACACCGGUGGCGAAGGCGGGUCUCUGGGCAGUAACUGACGCUGAGGAGCGAAAGCGUGGGGAGCGAACAGGAUUAGAUACCCUGGUAGUCCACGCCGUAAACGGUGGGUACUAGGUGUGGGUUUCCUUCCUUGGGAUCCGUGCCGUAGCUAACGCAUUAAGUACCCCGCCUGGGGAGUACGGCCGCAAGGCUAAAACUCAAAGAAAUUGACGGGGGCCCGCACAAGCGGCGGAGCAUGUGGAUUAAUUCGAUGCAACGCGAAGAACCUUACCUGGGUUUGACAUGCACAGGACGCCGGCAGAGAUGUCGGUUCCCUUGUGGCCUGUGUGCAGGUGGUGCAUGGCUGUCGUCAGCUCGUGUCGUGAGAUGUUGGGUUAAGUCCCGCAACGAGCGCAACCCUUGUCUCAUGUUGCCAGCGGGUAAUGCCGGGGACUCGUGAGAGACUGCCGGGGUCAACUCGGAGGAAGGUGGGGAUGACGUCAAGUCAUCAUGCCCCUUAUGUCCAGGGCUUCACACAUGCUACAAUGGCCGGUACAAAGGGCUGCGAUGCCGCGAGGUUAAGCGAAUCCUUUUAAAGCCGGUCUCAGUUCGGAUCGGGGUCUGCAACUCGACCCCGUGAAGUCGGAGUC